rnacentral:tRNA from 1 species
AUGUAGUUUAAUUAAAGCAUUUCGCUUACACCGAAAACAUGUCUGUUUAAAUCAGAUCAUUUUGAG